UACGGGGGGAGCAAGCGUUGUUCGGAUUUACUGGGCGUAAAGGGCGCGUAGGCGGCCACCGCAAGUCGGUUGUGAAAUCUCCGGGCUUAACCCGGAAAGGUCAAUCGAUACUGCGGGGCUAGAGUGCAGAAGGGGCAACUGGAAUUCUCGGUGUAGCGGUGAAAUGCGUAGAUAUCGAGAGGAACACCAGUGGCGCAAGCGGCUGACUGGCCGAGACCUGACGCUGAGACACGACGGCGUGGGGAGCAAACCGG
rnacentral:rRNA from 1 species